UGGGGAUGACGUCAAGUCCUCCAUGGCCCUUAUAGGUGGGGCUACACACGUCAUACAAUGGCCGGUACAGAGGGUAGCCAACCCGCGAGGGGGAGCCAAUCCCACAAAGCCGGUCGUAGUCCGGAUCGCAGUCUGCAACUCGACUGCGUGAAGUCGGAAUCGCUAGUAGUCGCGAAAUCAGCAUGUCGCGGUGAAUACGUUCCCGGGUCUU
rnacentral:rRNA from 1 species